ACAGAGGUCCCAAGCGUUGUUCGGAUUCAUUGGGCGUAAAGGGUGCGUAGGUGGCGUCGUAAGUCGGGUGUGAAAUUUCGGAGCUCAACUCCGAAACUGCAUUCGAUACUGCGGUGCUUGAGGACUGGAGAGGAGACUGGAAUUUACGGUGUAGCAGUGAAAUGCGUAGAGAUCGUAAGGAAGACCAGUGGCGAAGGCGGGUCUCUGGACAGUUCCUGACACUGAGGCACGAAGGCCAGGGGAGCAAACGGGA
rnacentral:rRNA from 1 species